AGAGGUGACGCUUCUUUGGGGGCGGGCUGGAAUUUUCUGGCCGUGAAUGGCAGAGCGCUAAUGGCCGCCUCCAAUGUGGCCCAAUCAGAAAGGAAGGCUGGGAACUAAGAAGCUAUUGGUUGGUGAUCCCUGGACCAAUCGGAGGAGCAGUGAUUUGGCGGGAGUCUUGACCGCCGCCGGGCUCUUGGUACCUCAGCGCGAGCGCCGGGCGUCCGGCCGCCGUGGCUAUGUUCGUGUCCGAUUUCCGCAAAGAGUUCUACGAGGUGGUCCACAGCCAGGUGACGCCCAGUCCGGGACCCCCGCCGAGGCCUUGCUGGUGGGGAAGGGAUGAGGGGGAGCGGCCGUGGGUGACCGGGAGGCAGGGGAGGGCCGGGGUUCGGGUCGCCGCGUUCAGCCGGUCUGCUCUUCCCCCGAUAGAGGGUCCUUCUCUUCGUGGCCUCGGACGUGGAUGCUCUGUGUGCGUGCAAGAUCCUUCAGGCCUUGUUCCAAUGUGACCACGUGCAAUAUACGCUGGUUCCAGUUUCUGGGUGGCAAGAACUUGAAACUGCAUUUCUUGAGCAUAAAGAACAGUUUCAUUAUUUUAUUCUCAUAAACUGUGGAGCUAAUGUAGACCUAUUGGAUAUUCUUCAACCUGAUGAAGACACUAUAUUCUUUGUGUGUGACACCCAUAGGCCAGUCAAUGUCGUCAAUGUAUACAACGAUACCCAGAUCAAAUUACUC
rnacentral:sRNA from 1 species